UAGUGAAUGCUUGAUAUUCCAAUGUGUUUAUAAUGUAGAUAUAAGUUCAGUUUUAUCUUACAGGUAUAGUAAGAUUUGAAUGAAUAAAAGGUAAAAGGAGAGACAUUACAGGAGAAAGGAUCAUCAACUUGAGGAAACAAAAACAGAAGAUAAUAUAGCAGGUGGCCUGGAGAGGAAGAGAAAUGGCGUUAUCACAAAAAGGAAUCUAUAGUACUUGAAAACAAGCAAGAUACAGCAAGACAGAGAAAGAUGAACCUAAGAAGAAUAAGACUUUUUUGUUUUUAGUUUGGAUGACGAAGCAAAUAAUGGAACCUGUGACAGGAAAAUUGGUAUGUGAAGAUGAUUAAUUUAAUAUUUGGCAUUAUAAGGCUUACUGAAUGGUAAGAUAAAUAAUAAGAUAAUCAGUAAGAUAUUGCAGGUGUAGGACCUGAUCUCAGUAGAUACAAAAGGAAGUUCGGUUAUAAAACUUAGUCAGCAG
rnacentral:lncRNA from 1 species